CUGAAAACCUUGCACAAAGUAAGCCAGCAAAUAAUCCGCGUAUUUUAUAUUUUCGUCAUUGGUUAUUAAUGUUGGACUUAUUAGUAUUGAGGUUGCAAUAUGUAGUGUUAAAAAAUGUUCAUAUAUAUCCCCCAGUGAGCAAAAUGAGUGCAAAUUGAGCGCAAAUUGGCAGCAAGUUCGAUCAAAACUUGAUGCCAAAACCGUAGCCAACUGUGUCCACUUUAGGCUUGUGUUUUGACAUCAAGGCUUGGUGUCGGGUAACUUGUAACAAAUUUGCAGCAAAAACCACGCAAGUUUUGUAGCGCAUAACUUUGUACCAAAUAGGCACCAAAUACCGAGCAACACUUGCGCACAAGACACGAGAGCAAAUUGGCAGCAAAUCCGCAGCAAGCCUUGCACUCAAUCAGCUGAUCGAGAUGGUGGCGACGUGCGUUGGGUUUUAAAUAGUUCCUAACCUAUAAUAUAUUCUGAAAUUUUGAUUGAAAUUUUUCAUUUAAAAAGAGAAAGAACUAGACUUGCGAAGUUUGCUUCGCUUAUCGAGCUUAUAGGGCUCGAUUCUGCACUGCAUUAUAUACACAUCUACCGACAAUUAUCGGUAUGUUAACGGCAUUGCGCAGCUUUUUCGUAUAACAAAAAACUGCACAACGCCGUAAACGAUACCGAUAGUUGUCGGUAGACGUAUACAGAAUGGAGUCCCAGCGGUAAGCGAUGAUAAAACUGUAUAUAAUACACCAACUACAUCAAUUGGAACAUGGUCACCAUCAUUUCAUCAUUCCAGACGUUCUGAUUCUCCUAUAGAAGAAAUAUUAACUGAGGAUUACAAGAAAUUUAUGGUUAAAAGUAUGGUGACCUUAUUAAGAAGAACUAAAAAUAUAGGAGAUCGAUCGACUGUCACUUCGACAAUUGUGGGAGGCACUUAUCAACUGCAUCACAAUGCAUAGCAUAGCAAAAUAUACUUCCUCUUUGAAAAUUAUUGGUGGAAACACAAUAACGUCAGCUACGAAUGCAAUUCUUAGCAAAUUAAUUGAAGAUGUACUUGCCAUAAAAUAUAAUUGGCAAGGAAAAAAAGGGAAAAAAGCUUUUAAUAAACUGUUGACAUCAAAAUUAAUUAUAAAAACUGUACACGUAAUGUGUCUAACACAAUGCACUGAUAAGCAAAUAGAAGCUGCCUCAAUAUGGUUUGCUCAAGCUACAUCACGCUUCAAACGUACAGAAGGUAGGAGACAACGAAACAACCAAGAGGCAACAAAUGCAGAAAACAAUCCAGUAGUACACCCUUACGAUGAUGAUGAAGACUCUAAUAUUCUAUACUUUUAUAUUUGCUGUUAUAUUUUUAUAUUUUUAUUAAGGGAGGGUGGGGCACAGAGAGAGAGAGAGAGAGAGAGAGAGAGAGAGAGAGAGAGAGAAAGAGAGAGAGAGAGUGAUAGUUUUGGGAAAUUCGUUGGUAGAGCCCGUUUUUAAGUUGACAGUCUAAUAUUUUGAUUAAUAUAUUUUCGUUAGGCCUAAAA